rnacentral:rRNA from 1 species
UAGUUCUAACCCUAAACGAUGCUGACUAGCAAUCCGCCGUCGUUAUUCCCAUGACGUGGCGGGACGCCCCCGGGAAACCUCAAGUCUUUGAGUUCCGGGGGUAGUAUGGUUGCAAAACUGAAACUUAAAGGAAUUGACGGAAGGGCACCACCAGGAGUGGAGCCUGCGGCUUAAUUUGACUCAACACGGGAAACCUCACCAGGCCCGGACACCAGAAGGAUUGACAGAUUAAGAGCUCUUUCUCGAUUUGGUGGGUGGUGGUGCAUGGCCGUUCUUAGUUGGUGGAGUGAUUUGUCUGGUUAAUUCCGGUAACGAACGAGACUCUGGCCUACUAACUAGUGGAUGGGUGUCCUGGUAACGGGCCCCAUCCGAUAAUGUCUUCUUAGAGGGAUGAGCAGCGAGUAUAGCUGCAGGAGAUUGAGCAAUAACAGGUCU